rnacentral:rRNA from 1 species
UACGAAGGGGGCUAGCGUUGCUCGGAAUCACUGGGCGUAAAGGGCGCGUAGGCGGAUCUUUAAGUCGGGGGUGAAAGCCCAGGGCUCAACCCUGGAAUUGCCUUCGAUACUGAAGAUCUCGAGACCGGAAGAGGUAAGUGGAACUGCGAGUGUAGAGGUGAAAUUCGUAGAUAUUCGCAAGAACACCAGUGGCGAAGGCGGCUUGCUGGUCCGGUUCUGACGCUGAGGCGCGAAAGCGUGGGGAGCAAACAGG